rnacentral:rRNA from 1 species
GAUGAACGCUAGCGGCAGGCCUAAUACAUGCAAGCCGAGGGGCAGCAUCAGCUUCGGCUGGAUGGCGACCGGCGCACGGGUGAGUAACGCGUACAUAACCUGCCUCGAACUGGGGGAUAAGCACUGGAAACGGUGUCUAAGACCCCAUAGUAUCAAAUAGUGGCAUCGCUGUUUGAUUAAAGGUUACGGUUCGAGAUGGAUGUGCGUACGAUUAGCUAGAUGGUGAGGUAACGGCUCACCAUGGCUCUGAUCGUUAGGGGGCGUGAGAGCGUGGUCCCCCACACGGGUACUGAGACACGGACCCGACUCCUACGGGAGGCAGCAGUAAGGAAUAUUGGGCAAUGGAUGCAAGUCUGACCCAGCCAUGCCGCGUGCGGGAUGAAGGCCCUACGGGUCGUAAACCGCUUUUACAGAGGAAGAAAAAGUCCCACGUGUGGGAUCGUGACGGUACUCUGCGAAUAAGCACCGGCUAACUCCG